UAACUUUCUUUUUAAAUACAGGGAAAUCUGUUGAGCGAAGAAUGAUUUUUGGCUGCCUGUAGAUAUGAGUAUAAACAUGAAAUGGAGGUGCUAUAAUCCAGUCCCAUCCAAAAGCUUCAAAAUCCACUGUCAGCGGGUAGCGACAACAUCGGGAUUCUGUUGAGUGCUCAUCACAGUCAAGGCCAAAGUCUCUGCGGGAUCUUUUUGGUGUGUCUGUAACUCUGACCUCUAAAAAUGGAUUCUGUGAGGAGAGGAAAUGGAACUUGAAAUAUUACUGAAGUAAUUAUGAGUUUCUCCCUUCCAGGAUGCCCACCUUUAUGCCUACAACUCCUCCAGUGCUGCAGAAGAUGCCCUGCGGCUCAAGAGCAAGGGAAGAUGAACAGUGCAGGAGGUGGAGAAGAGGACCUGAGUGUAGUGGCUGCAGGAGAAGACCUGCUGCUGGCUGGUGAGUACCCUGCUGCCCACAGGGUGCUAUGGCUCAGCCCCUCUGCUGAGGGGCAGGAGGGAGAGGGGGCUAUCCUGGGCAGCAGAACAGGCCGCAAGGAAC